rnacentral:sRNA from 1 species
UCAUCAGAAACUCUAGCACCUUUUCUUCC